rnacentral:rRNA from 1 species
GGUUAAGCGACUAAGCGUACACGGUGGAUGCCCUGGCAGUCAGAGGCGAUGAAGGACGUGCUAAUCUGCGAUAAGCGUCGGUGAGGUGAUAUGAACCGUUAUAACCGGCGAUUUCCGAAUGGGGAAACCCAGUGUGUUUCGACACACUAUCAUUAACUGAAUCCAUAGGUUAAUGAGGCGAACCGGGGGAACUGAAACAUCUAAGUACCCCGAGGAAAAGAAAUCAACCGAGAUUCCCCCAGUAGCGGCGAGCGAACGGGGAGCAGCCCAGAGCCUGAAUCAGUGUGUGUGUUAGUGGAAGCGUCUGGAAAGGCGCGCGAUACAGGGUGACAGCCCCGUACACAAAAAUGCACAUACUGUGAGCUCGAUGAGUAGGGCGGGACACGUGGUAUCCUGUCUGAAUAUGGGGGGACCAUCCUCCAAGGCUAAAUACUCCUGACUGACCGAUAGUGAACCAGUACCGUGAGGGAAAGGCGAAAAGAACCCCGGCGAGGGGAGUGAAAAAGAACCUGAAACCGUGUACGUACAAGCAGUGGGAGCCUCUUUUAUGGGGUGACUGCGUACCUUUUGUAUAAUGGGUCAGCGACUUAUAUUCUGUAGCAAGGUUAACCGAAUAGGGGAGCCGAAGGGAAACCGAGUCUUAACUGGGCGUUAAGUUGCAGGGUAUAGACCCGAAACCCGGUGAUCUAGCCAUGGGCAGGUUGAAGGUUGGGUAACACUAACUGGAGGACCGAACCGACUAAUGUUGAAAAAUUAGCGGAUGACUUGUGGCUGGGGGUGAAAGGCCAAUCAAACCGGGAGAUAGCUGGUUCUCCCCGAAAGCUAUUUAGGUAGCGCCUCGUGAAUUCAUCUCCGGGGGUAGAGCACUGUUUCGGCAAGGGGGUCAUCCCGACUUACCAACCCGAUGCAAACUGCGAAUACCGGAGAAUGUUAUCACGGGAGACACACGGCGGGUGCUAACGUCCGUCGUGAAGAGGGAAACAACCCAGACCGCCAGCUAAGGUCCCAAAGUCAUGGUUAAGUGGGAAACGAUGUGGGAAGGCCCAGACAGCCAGGAUGUUGGCUUAGAAGCAGCCAUCAUUUAAAGAAAGCGUAAUAGCUCACUGGUCGAGUCGGCCUGCGCGGAAGAUGUAACGGGGCUAAACCAUGCACCGAAGCUGCGGCAGCGACACUGUGUGUUGUUGGGUAGGGGAGCGUUCUGUAAGCCUGUGAAGGUGUGCUGUGAGGCAUGCUGGAGGUAUCAGAAGUGCGAAUGCUGACAUAAGUAACGAUAAAGCGGGUGAAAAGCCCGCUCGCCGGAAGACCAAGGGUUCCUGUCCAACGUUAAUCGGGGCAGGGUGAGUCGACCCCUAAGGCGAGGCCGAAAGGCGUAGUCGAUGGGAAACAGGUUAAUAUUCCUGUACUUGGUGUUACUGCGAAGGGGGGACGGAGAAGGCUAUGUUGGCCGGGCGACGGUUGUCCCGGUUUAAGCGUGUAGGCUGAUUUUCCAGGCAAAUCCGGAAAACUAAGGCUGAGGCGUGAUGACGAGGCACUACGGUGCUGAAGCAACAAAUGCCCUGCUUCCAGGAAAAGCCUCUAAGCAUCAGGUAACAUCAAAUCGUACCCCAAACCGACACAGGUGGUCAGGUAGAGAAUACCAAGGCGCUUGAGAGAACUCGGGUGAAGGAACUAGGCAAAAUGGUGCCGUAACUUCGGGAGAAGGCACGCUGAUAUGUAGGUGAAGUCCCUCGCGGAUGGAGCUGAAAUCAGUCGAAGAUACCAGCUGGCUGCAACUGUUUAUUAAAAACACAGCACUGUGCAAACACGAAAGUGGACGUAUACGGUGUGACGCCUGCCCGGUGCCGGAAGGUUAAUUGAUGGGGUUAGCGGUAACGCGAAGCUCUUGAUCGAAGCCCCGGUAAACGGCGGCCGUAACUAUAACGGUCCUAAGGUAGCGAAAUUCCUUGUCGGGUAAGUUCCGACCUGCACGAAUGGCGUAAUGAUGGCCAGGCUGUCUCCACCCGAGACUCAGUGAAAUUGAACUCGCUGUGAAGAUGCAGUGUACCCGCGGCAAGACGGAAAGACCCCGUGAACCUUUACUAUAGCUUGACACUGAACAUUGAGCCUUGAUGUGUAGGAUAGGUGGGAGGCUUUGAAGUGUGGACGCCAGUCUGCAUGGAGCCGGCCUUGAAAUACCACCCUUUAAUGUUUGAUGUUCUAACGUUGGCCCCUGAUCGGGGUUGCGGACAGUGUCUGGUGGGUAGUUUGACUGGGGCGGUCUCCUCCUAAAGAGUAACGGAGGAGCACGAAGGUUGGCUAAUCCUGGUCGGACAUCAGGAGGUUAGUGCAAUGGCAUAAGCCAGCUUGACUGCGAGCGUGACGGCGCGAGCAGGUGCGAAAGCAGGUCAUAGUGAUCCGGUGGUUCUGAAUGGAAGGGCCAUCGCUCAACGGAUAAAAGGUACUCCGGGGAUAACAGGCUGAUACCGCCCAAGAGUUCAUAUCGACGGCGGUGUUUGGCACCUCGAUGUCGGCUCAUCACAUCCUGGGGCUGAAGUAGGUCCCAAGGGUAUGGCUGUUCGCCAUUUAAAGUGGUACGCGAGCUGGGUUUAGAACGUCGUGAGACAGUUCGGUCCCUAUCUGCCGUGGGCGCUGGAGAACUGAGGGGGGCUGCUCCUAGUACGAGAGGACCGGAGUGGACGCAUCACUGGUGUUCGGGUUGUCAUGCCAAUGGCACUGCCCGGUAGCUAAAUGCGGAAGAGAUAAGUGCUGAAAGCAUCUAAGCACGAAACUUGCCCCGAGAUGAGUUCUCCCUGACUCCUUGAGGGUCCUGAAGGAACGUUGAAGACGACGACGUUGAUAGGCCGGGUGUGUAAGCGCAGCGAUGCGUUGAGCUAACCGGUACUAAUGAACCGUGAGGCUUAACCUU